AAGUCGUAACAAGGUUUCCGUAGGUGAACCUGCGGAAGGAUCAUUACCUAGAGUUGUAGGCUUUGCCUGCUAUCUCUUACCCAUGUCUUUUGAGUACCUUCGUUUCCUCGGCGGGUUCGCCCGCCGAUUGGACAAUUUAAACCAUUUGCAGUUGCGAUCAGCGUCUGAAAAAAUCUAAUAGUUACAA
rnacentral:misc_RNA from 1 species